GUCCUGGGAAGGAAUUUGGGGUAUUUAGUGAGAUUUGGAGAUUUAAAAAGAUGUGCUGUGUCUGUGCCUGCGCUCUACAGACAGGCCCUUUCAGGAAAGUAUGUUGUACUCACACAGACAGUACUGUGUCUAAGGCUUCUGUCAACAUUUAGUGUCUUAAAACAGCAAAUAGGAGUACUAGGAAUUUGUAUACAUAUAUACUAAAUAUGCUCCCAUUUGUAUUGCCUUUAAAAGGCUAAGAGCAGAUGAGCAUUAUCCUGCUCGGUUUUGAAACCAUUCUCUUACCAUUCUAAAACUGCUGCGGUUGGGUCGAUGACGCCAGUCCUUCCUGGGGUUGUGUGGCCAUCUUGGUGAAAAUGACAUCAGAUGGAUGGGCGGGCGCCGCCCUCUAACCAGCAGUGCUGUGCCAGGGAAACAGGAUGUCACAUCUGAGGCCACGGUUUCUUUCGAAGGCGUUUAUGCAUGCCUCACAUCACCAGUUUCCCUUGGGGAAUCGGAGUUUAUGGCUGGGUUCGUCUCUAAAAUUCAUCUGAUUUUCUUGAAUGAGUUCACGUGAUGGGUUAUCGCUCAUCUUCAGAAUCAGAAUCAGAAUCAGCUGGUGUACCAGAGACCCAUGAGCAUCUCCAUUCAACGUGCUGAUUCCUAGUAUACCCAACGCAUUGCAUGCCUCUUGAAUUAUACAGGUGAUUGUAUAGACGCGUUCACAUUCAAAGUAACACUAUGCAACAAUUUGACACUUUCUGAGGUAUGGUUUUAUAGGCAACUAGUUUUGGUACCAUUCUCAAAUUCAUUUUGAUAGCGUAUGGUCAUGUGAAGGACAGAUAAACACUUUGUGUCUUUCCCACUAGUCAUCCAGGAUAUGCCCUAUGUAGUUCUGUGUACCGGGCUGGAACACCCUGUAAAAAUGGGAGAAAAGCUUUCACAGCAUGACCUUGCCAGCUAUACUGCCAAAAGACACCAGUUAGUGUGAUGGCAAGCAUCUAUCAGUGUCAGCUGGGCUGUUGGUGGUGUUUGCAGGGUUUUUGCAUGUCUUUUAGGUAGUUAGCUUGCUAGUUUUGGAACAGAACUCCUUAUUGCUGCUUUAAGAUUAAGACAACAAAAGUAAGAUGCUUUGUGAAGAAAUACUACGCUUUAACGGUUACCUCACUCUUGUGAGUAUUUAAUUCCUCCCUUUAACAGUGAACACUACAUACUGCAGCUUUAACAGUGAACACUACAUACUGCAGCUUUAAGCUCCCUUUAACAGUGAACACUACAUACUGCAGCUUUAACAGUGAACAUUACAUACUGCAGCUUUAAGUUCCCUUUAACAGUGAACACUAGAUACUGCAGCUUUAACAGUGAACACUACAUACUGCAGCUUUAAGCUCCCUUUAACAGUGAACACUACAUACUGCAGCUUUAACAGUGAACAUUACAUACUGCAGCUUUAAGCUCCCUUUAACAGUGAACACUACAUACUGCAGCUUUGACAGUGAACACUACAUACUGCAGCUUUAAGCUCCCUCGGCAUGAUGGUUAUUCUUGUGGAGAGGAAGAGUCCAGUCCAGUCCAGGCAUCCAGUCUAUCAAUCGUUCUUUCAUUUUUCAAAAUAAAACAGACAAACAAAAAGGAAACUAUUCGUUUUUCAAAACCACAAUAGAAAAAAAGACCAAUUUUAAAGUUUGUGCUCGAAACAACAUAACAAGCAAAUCCGUGUAUCAUUCUUUUUUUGGGGGGGGUUUAAAUAAAUCAAAUCAUCCCCCUGCCAUCUUUCCCCCCUCGGCUUAC
ensembl:lncRNA